rnacentral:rRNA from 1 species
GGUUAAGUUAGAAAGGGCGCACGGUGGAUGCCUUGACACUAGGAGUCGAUGAAGGACGGGACUAACGCCGAUAUGCUUCGGGGAGCUGUAAGUAAGCUUUGAUCCGAAGAUUUCCGAAUGGGGAAACCCACUAUACGUAAUGGUAUGGUAUCCUUACCUGAAUACAUAGGGUAUGGAAGACAGACCCAGGGAACUGAAACAUCUAAGUACCUGGAGGAAGAGAAAGCAAAUGCGAUUUCCUGAGUAGCGGCGAGCGAAACGGAAUCUAGCCCAAACCAAGAGGCUUGCCUCUUGGGGUUGUAGGACAUUCUAUACGGAGUUACAAAGGAACGAGGUAGACGAAGCGACCUGGAAAGGUCCGUCGUAGAGGGUAACAACCCCGUAGUCGAAACUUCGUUCUCUCUUGAAUGUAUCCUGAGUACGGCGGAACACGUGAAAUUCCGUCGGAAUCUGGGAGGACCAUCUCCCAAGGCUAAAUACUCCCUAGUGAUCGAUAGUGAACCAGUACCGUGAGGGAAAGGUGAAAAGCACCCCGGAAGGGGAGUGAAAGAGAUCCUGAAACCGUGUGCCUACAAAUAGUCAGAGCCCGUUAAUGGGUGAUGGCGUGCCUUUUGUAGAAUGAACCGGCGAGUUACGAUCCCGUGCGAGGUUAAGUUGAAGAGACGGAGCCGCAGCGAAAGCGAGUCUGAAUAGGGCGUUUAGUACGUGGUCGUAGACCCGAAACCAGGUGAUCUACCCAUGUCCAGGGUGAAGUUCAGGUAACACUGAAUGGAGGCCCGAACCCACGCACGUUGAAAAGUGCGGGGAUGAGGUGUGGGUAGCGGAGAAAUUCCAAUCGAACCUGGAGAUAGCUGGUUCUCCCCGAAAUAGCUUUAGGGCUAGCCUUAAGUGUAAGAGUCUUGGAGGUAGAGCACUGAUUGAACUAGGGGUCCUCAUCGGAUUACCGAAUUCAGUCAAACUCCGAAUGCCAAUGACUUAUCCUUAGGAGUCAGACUGCGAGUGAUAAGAUCCGUAGUCAAGAGGGAAACAGCCCAGAUCGCCAGCUAAGGUCCCAAAGUGUGUAUUAAGUGGAAAAGGAUGUGGAGUUGCUUAGACAACUAGGAUGUUGGCUUAGAAGCAGCCACCAUUUAAAGAGUGCGUAAUAGCUCACUAGUCGAGUGACUCUGCGCCGAAAAUGUACCGGGGCUAAAUACACCACCGAAGCUGCGAAUUGAUACCAAUGGUAUCAGUGGUAGGGG